CAGUCGCCGCGGGAAUACGUAGGGUGCAAGCGUUAAUCGGAAUUACUGGGCGUAAAGCGUGCGCAGGCGGUUAUAUAAGAAAGAUGUGAAAUCCCCGGGCUCAACCUGGGAACUGCAUUUGUGACUGUAUAGCUAGAGUACGGCAGAGGGGGAUGGAAUUCCGCGUGUAGCAGUGAAAUGCGUAGAUAUGCGGAGGAACACCGAUGGCGAAGGCAAUCCCCUGGGCCUGUACUGACGCUCAUGCACGAAAGCGUGGGGAGCAAACAGGAUUAGAUACCCCUGUAGUCCCUGUCUCUUAUAC
rnacentral:rRNA from 1 species